CCAGCACCUAUGGAAAAAUGGGAAGAAAAGCAAAGUCACAUGCAGGAUGUCCAAGAGAUCACUUUGCUUCUUACACUUCUGCCUGUCAGAAUGUACAACGGCUUGGUCAGAGACAGAAAUGAAGUAGACUGAAAGCCUCAGACACACAGCUUCAUUUCUCUCAUCUAUGAGAGCCUGUUCCCGUAACUCUGAAGCUGUGGAUUAAGUAGAGUCAAAGGUGGUGAAACGCUUGAACAACAGACUGAACAGAGCAACUUGCAAAGACCAUCCUUGGAGUUAUUUAAACCCCAGCAGAAACAGCCCUAAGGAAUCUUCUCUAGUGGACUCUACUUUGAAUCAAGGUGUUUGCAAGCCACAGAGAAUCAGCAAAGUGCUUGUAUAGCUAACUCCAUGAAAACUCAAAUGCUGAAAUGCUGGUAGCUGCAAUUUGACCCCCUGUACAAUUUCAAGUGCUCAAAUCUCUUACUUGUAGACUGUCAAGAUCUUUUUUCCAACAUAGGAGUGAAGACAUGCUUUUCUGCUCUCAAAUGCUUCAUUCACACAAAGAAAUAAUCUUCAAUAAAUAAGUAAAUCCAUAUCAAGAAAGAAAUGCUUCCUAAAGAAUACAGUAGCUUCCACCUUGCCUUAUACAACACAUACCAAUUCCAGUACCUAUUUCUGAAUUCCUUUUAUACGUACAAUUAAAAUCUGGGUCCCACUGAAACUAGGGGACACAAGGCAUUAACAGAAGGUUAAUUCUGAAAAAUAAUUUCCACUGCAGCCAAGGUAAUACAAAGAAGUUUCUCCAUCCAGUUUACUGUUGGUGAUUCUGUUGAGCUGAACUCUGCAUUCAGCAGUGACUUAAAAUAACUGGACAGGCAUCCUAUCAGGGUGAACUGCUUUACAUCUUUUUUCUUGUCAAUGCCUCAAACUGCCUGGAUGCAGUCACUGCAUGGGCAACAGACGGCCUCACGUCCACAUGAUCUUGAGCUCAGCCUGGCUCAUUAUUCAGGCAGAUUCAAGAGAAAGAUUGUAUGAACUCCAAGUGAGAACGUGCUUAUGGGAACUGCUUCCUCUCCACUCUCAGCAGAAAGAACAUCCCAGUUCUACUUCUUCCAUGACAGUGUUCAACUCCUCACUGGGUUUAUCUGUGCACUGUACGUGCCCAAGGGCCUCCAAAACAAACACAGAGUAAAAGACAGGAACUACUUAAUCUGUACUAAGCUAUAGUUAUCAUGUUUACUCUGAUGGGCUUCUGCCUUAGUCUUCUAAAUUCAGAAGGGUAGGAAGCACACAGAGAUGAUGAUUUCUAUGAGGAAUUUAGGUAUCUAACUUCAGUUCAUUCAAGUUACAUGCCUUCAACAGAGCUGAGAUGAAUGCUCGCUUACUUCCCCUGCACAAGUUAUUGUAUGCACAAGUUAUUUACAUCUAUUCCUUCAGAAAGAACUAAUGUAGCCGCCAACAAAUAAUUUACUAACUUUACAAAAAGCACAUUUAUUUUAAACAUGACUAAUUUUUAGCAUGAUGUAAAAUAAAAUAUCUAAUAUUAUGCAAAAUAGUAAUAAAUGCUGACUAGAAACAAAGCACUUGCAUAACUUGACCAGUUUAUUUCCUUCUGUAGUCCCUGGGUCUGUUUCUGAUAAUAGACAGCAGCAGAGGCUUCCGAAAAAGAGACAGAUAGAUAGGAUAAUGCAAUCGGGGAAUAACCACCACCACGUUUCUCCUCAGCUCUGUCAUUCUGUAAUUGGUUUAUAGUCGAUUAGUAACGGAGCUUACAUCUGUAACUCUAAAAUGACUUUACUGAAGUGCUCGCAAGACAUUCUUCAAAUCUACAUGACAUUCAUAUUUUCAUAGGAGUCCUUAGAGCACGCUAAAUAAAUCUGAUAUCCUGAGAUGUUUCUGCCACAUUUAAAUGUGCGCUUAGAUCAUUCAGUAGUUCAUGUACUUGAUCCGAGAAGCGCUAUAUGAACAGCUCUAGAUGUAUGCCUAUGAAGAAACGAAAAUCCAG